rnacentral:rRNA from 1 species
AGUGAACGCUGGCGGUAGGCCUAACACAUGCAAGUCGAACGGCAGCACAGUAAGAGCUUGCUCUUACGGGUGGCGAGUGGCGGACGGGUGAGGAAUACAUCGGAAUCUACUUUUUCGUGGGGGAUAACGUAGGGAAACUUACGCUAAUACCGCAUACGACCUACGGGUGAAAGCAGGGGAUCUUCGGACCUUGCGCGAUUGAAUGAGCCGAUGUCGGAUUAGCUAGUUGGCGGGGUAAAGGCCCACCAAGGCGACGAUCCGUAGCUGGUCUGAGAGGAUGAUCAGCCACACUGGAACUGAGACACGGUCCCGACUCCUACGGGAGGCAGCAGUGGGGAAUAUUGGACAAUGGGCGCAAGCCUGAUCCAGCCAUACCGCGUGGGUGAAGAAGGCCUUCGGGUUGUAAAGCCUUUUUGUUGGGAAAGAAAAGCAGCAGGUUAAUACCCCGCUGUUCUGACGGUAACCAAAGAAUAAGCACCGGCUAACCUCGUG